rnacentral:rRNA from 1 species
ACCAGACUCCUACGGGAGGCAGCAGUGGGGGAUAUUGCACAAUGGGGGGAACCCUGAUGCAGCGACGCCGCGUGGGUGAAGGAGUGCUUCGGCAUGUAAAGCCCUAUCGGCAGGGAAGAAGCAAGACGGUACCUGACUAAGAAGCCCCGGCUAACUACGUGCCAGCAGCCGCGGUAAUACGUAGGGGGCAAGCGUUAUCCGGAUUUACUGGGUGUAAAGGGAGCGUAGACGGCGAUGCAAGCCAGAUGUGAAAGCCCGGGGCUCAACCCCGGGACUGCAUUUGGAACUGUGUGGCUGGAGUGUCGGAGAGGCAGGCGGAAUUCCUAGUGUAGCGGUGAAAUGCGUAGAUAUUAGGAGGAACACCAGUGGCGAAGGCGGCCUGCUGGACGAUGACUGACGUUGAGGCUCGAAAGCGUGGGGAGCAAACAGGAUUAGAUACCCUGGUA